CCUACGGGCGGCAGCAGUAGGGAAUCUUUCACAAUGGGCGAAAGCCUGAUGGAGCAACGCCGCGUGCAGGAUGAAGGCCUUCGGGUUGUAAACUGCUUUUAUAAGCGAGAAAUAUGAUGGUAACUUAUGAAUAAGGAACGGCGAACUACGUGCCAGCAGCCGCGGUCAUACGUAGGCUCCGAGCAUUAUCCGGAGUGACUGGGUGUAAAGAGUUGCGUAGGUGGCAUAAUAAGUAGCUAGUGAAAUCUGGUGGCUCAACCAUUCAGACUAUUAGCUAAACUGUUAAGCUCGAGACCGUUAGGGGUAACUGGAAGUUGUAGUGUAGGAGUGAAAUGCGUAGAUAUUAGAAAGAACACCGAGAGCGAAGGCAGGUUGCUGGGACGGUUCUGACACUGAGGCACGAAAGCGUAGGGAGCAAACGGGAUUAGAUACCCCUGUAGUC
rnacentral:rRNA from 1 species